rnacentral:rRNA from 1 species
UCAGGCCUAACACAUGCAAGUCGAACGCCCCGCAAGGGGAGUGGCAGACGGGUGAGUAACACGUGGGAACGUACCCUUCGGUUCGGAAUAACUCAGGGAAACUUGAGCUAAUACCGGAUACGUCCGAGAGGAGAAAGAUUUAUCGCCGAAGGAUCGGCCCGCGUCUGAUUAGCUAGUUGGUGAGGUAAUGGCUCACCAAGGCGACGAUCAGUAGCUGGUCUGAGAGGAUGAUCAGCCACACUGGGACUGAGACACGGCCCAGACUCCUACGGGAGGCAGCAGUGGGGAAUAUUGGACAAUGGGCGCAAGCCUGAUCCAGCCAUGCCGCGUGAGAAAGGAGGCCUUAGGGUUGUAAAGCUC